CCACAAGAGACUGAGCCAUACUUGCCUGUGAGUCUGUGUCUGUUUCGUAGAUAGGUUUAUUUGUUUCAUAUUUUAGAUUCUACAUAUAAGUGAUAUCAUAUGGCAUUUGCCUUUCUCUUUCUAACUUAUUUCACUUAGUGUGAUAAUCUCUAGUUGCAUCCAUGUUGUU